GGGGCGGUAGCUCAGCCGGUUAGAGCACGGAACUCAUAAUUCCACGGUCACCGGUUCGAGUCCGGUCCGCCUCA
rnacentral:tRNA from 1 species